UCGAACGAUUACGCAUUUAUGUGUAGUAGUGGCGAACGGGUGAGUAACACAUUGGUAACCUACCUCUAACACGGGCAUAACUCCGAGAAAUCGGAGAUAAUUCCCGAUAGUCUCUUGAUUCAUCAAGAAUUCAAGAGUAAAGUUCCGACGGUUAGAGAGGGGCCUAUGUCUGAUUAGUUUGUUGGUGAGGUAAAAGCUCACCAAGACUACGAUCAGUAGCGGGGAUGGAAGUCUGAUCCGCCUCACUGGGACUGAGACACUGCCCAGACUCC
rnacentral:rRNA from 1 species